ACAACGAGAUCGUCAACGUACGUACAAUCUAGGAGCGAUGUUCUACUUUCACCAACUCAAAAUGAUGUUUCUUUACAGUCUGUUGAGACCCCAACUUCUCUAUCAACGUAAAUCUCUUCAACAAGUUCUCAAUAUACUAAGUAUACGAAGAGAAAUAUUAGGAUGUUAACCGUGUCCUCUUGGAAGUAGACUUCGAAGAGUGGAGGUGUACUUACAUUUAUGACUCGGUGCUUUCUUUUUCGAUUCACGAAAAGAUUUACUAUAUUCACUUCAUCUGGUUCUAUUCAGACUGAACCUCUUUAUAACAUCGCGUGGGAACCAUUCCACCGGACUUCCACUUAUAAAACUGUAAGAUAGAACCACCUUCUGGGUACCAAGUGUCAUAGGAUAGGAACGAUACCAACGUUCUCUACAAAACCGAUAAGGACGGAGGUUUCAACGUAGACUUAGACGAAAAUCGCCUCGUCCUGCUCACCAACUGUUCAUAGUAUCAGCAAACCUGGGACUUCAACAACUCCGAAACUAGACAUGGUUUCUAACCUAUUCUCGGAGAUUUUUUC
rnacentral:rRNA from 1 species